GGGCGUGUGGCUCAGCUGGGAGAGCAUCUGGUUCGCAAUCAGAGGGUCACGGGUUCGAAUCCCGUCACGUCCACCA
rnacentral:tRNA from 1 species